rnacentral:rRNA from 1 species
GCUUGUCUCAAAGAUUAAGCCAUGCAUGUCUAAGUAUAAAUAAAUCAUACUGUGAAACUGCGAAUGGCUCAUUAUAUCAGUUAUAGUUUAUUUGAUAGUCCCUUACUACUUGGAUAACCGUAGUAACUCUAGAGCUAAUACAUGCGCAAAUUCCCGACUGCCGCAAGGCGGAAAGGAUGUAUUUAUUAGAUCCAACCAGCCCGGUUCGCCGGAGUCCCUGGUGAGUCAUAAUAACUGAUCGAAUCGCAUGGGCCUUGCCCGCGAUACAUCAUUCAAGUUUCUGCCCCAUCAGCUUUCGAUGGUAGUGUAUUGGACUACCAUGGCUUUAACGGGUAACGGAGGAUUAGGGUUCGAUUCCGGAGAGGGAGCCUGAGAAACGGCUACCACAUCUAAGGAAGGCAGCAGG